UAAGGUAUUUCUGUUUUUUUUUUAUGUGCAAAAAUGUCUCAAAUCUUUUUGCUUUGUCAUUAUGGGCUAUUGUGUGUAGAUUGAUAAUUCAUUCAAAUAUUGAAUCAAUCUGAGAAUAAGGCUGUAACGUAACAAAAUGUGGAAAAAGUCAAGGGUCUGAAUACUUUCCGAAUGCAGUGUAUAUCGCCCAGCCCUAUAAUGCAGUCAAGAUGCUCUCAAUGGUGCAGCUGUUUAACUUUGAGGAUCCGAGGGCCCAUGUCAAAUCUUUUCAGCCUCCUGAGGGGGAAGGCGUUGUUUUGCCCUCUUGACAUCUGUGUUGGUGUAUGGGUACCGUGAUCAAUCCUUAGUGAUGUGGACACCGUGGAACUUUAAGCUCUCGACCUGCUCCACUACAGCUUGUCGACGUGAAUGAGGGCGUGCUCGGCCCUACGUUUUCUGUAGUCCAUGAUUAGCUCCUUUGUCUUGCUGACGUUGAGGGAGAGAAUCAUUAGCUGAAGCAGAAGAAACAGACUGUGGUCAAGAGCGCCAAGAAGGGGGUUCACACUGGACCUGACCCACCCUGUGGAGUACAGCAUCCUGGACUCUGCCAACUUCGGUUCCCUUCCCUAGUCACUGCUCUUUCCAACAGGAAACCUUUCUCAACGAGAGGGUAAAGGUCAAUGGCAAGACAGGAAAUCUGGCAAAUCUAGUCGAGAUCAACCAUCUGAAAAACAAGAUCCACGUCACAGAACCAGCUUUCCAAGAGGUACCUGAAGAAGAACAAUCUAGAAGAAAAAGAAACGCACACCUAUAAAGACGAGGUGCUGGCUAGCGGAGUAGAAACUUGAAAAUAAAACAGAGUCGCACACUCAGGGUACCCUGAUGAAGACAGCUUGGCUGUCGAAACGUUGGUAUUACAUUUUUGCAUCUGAGCUCCUAGAGUGUGUGACUCUUUUAUUUUCACCUGAAGAAGAACAACCUCCGUGAUUGGUUGAGAGUCAUGUUGGCAGACAAGGAGACUUACGAGCUGAGAUACUUCCAGAUCAGCCAGGAAGAGGACAAUGACGAGUAGAGCCAAGCUCCGCCCACCUGCCCCAGCAUGCAGGACUGGAGACUGGCCAGUCCGUCACACUUGUCACUUGUUUGUGAGAGGGAAAGUCUUCUGUGAGAGACAUUUGUAUUUGUCAGUGGAUAGACUGUAAACUUCAGUGUGUCAUCAUGUCUCUAGUUUGAUGGGAGAAUAAAUUAG